rnacentral:sRNA from 1 species
UAACUGGAGGGGGAGCCUCAGUUGGUGU